CGGACUGCGCGAACGGGGCGGACGGGCUCCCUGCAGGCCCGCGGGGAGGGGUGUCGGGCGCGGGCGGCCCCGGGACACAGCUCAGGACGAAGCCCUGAGCGGCACGCGAAAGGGAAACUGAGGCCCAGAGGGUGUGACUGAGGCCGAGACGUCUCUCAGUUCCUGUCCCAGACUAAGGGAGGCCCGCGGCCCUGCAGCCGAGACUUUCAGUUCGGGCGUUUCUGCAGGGGGCAAGAUUCUGCUUCUGCGGGGAGGCGCUGCUUCUAGGAGCUCUCCGUCUCUCCGGAAGGAGGGACAGGACUCAUACCCAGCUGGUCAGCUCGUGACACACGCCACUGUGGCCAAAUAAAACCAGUGACAAGGUGGAGAGCCCAGGACCUCCAUGGACAAGGGACAGGAAGAAGGGUGAGGGCAGGGAGGGGCUGGAGUUGAAUCCUCAAACGGGGAGGCAGGAGGACCCGGAGACAAAGGCAGGGGGCUGGACUGA